ensembl:misc_RNA Metazoa_SRP Metazoan signal recognition particle RNA
GCUGGGUGUGGUGGCGGGCACCUGUAAUCCCAGCUACUCAGGAGGCUGAGGCAGGAGAAUUGCUUGAACCCAGGAGGCAGAGGUUGCAGUGAGCCGAGAUCAUGCCACUGCACUCCAGCCUGGGUGACAGAGCGAGACUCUGUCUCAA